rfam:Phaeobacter inhibens DSM 17395, complete genome.
UUCCCGUGCAUGUCCGGGUAAUGACAUGUUCCUCCCUGUUGGACUGCCGGGCCUCUGUGCCCGGCCUUUUUU